rnacentral:tRNA from 1 species
UGGAGAGAUGGCUGAGUGGUCGAAAGCGGCAGAUUGCUAAUCUGCUGUAUGGUUAAAUCCAUACCGAGGGUUCGAAUCCCUCUCUCUCCU